rnacentral:rRNA from 1 species
CCUACGGGAGGCAGCAGUGGGGAAUCUUGGACAAUGGGCGCAAGCCUGAUCCAGCCAUGCCGCGUGUGUGAUGAAGGCCUUAGGGUCGUAAAGCACUUUCGCCAGAGAUGAUAAUGACAGUAUCUGGUAAAGAAACCCCGGCUAACUCCGUGCCAGCAGCCGCGGUAAUACGGAGGGGGUUAGCGUUGUUCGGAAUUACUGGGCGUAAAGCGCACGUAGGCGGAUUAGUCAGUCAGAGGUGAAAUCCCAGGGCUCAACCCUGGAACUGCCUUUGAUACUGCUAGUCUUGAGUUCGAGAGAGGUGAGUGGAAUUCCGAGUGUAGAGGUGAAAUUCGUAGAUAUUCGGAGGAACACCAGUGGCGAAGGCGGCUCACUGGCUCGAUACUGACGCUGAGGUGCGAAAGUGUGGGGAGCAAACAGGAUUAGAUACCCUGGUAGUCCACACCGUAAACGAUGAAUGCCAGUCGUCGGGUAGUAUACUAUUCGGUGACACACCUAACGGA